GAUGAACGCUGGCGGCGUGCCUAAUACAUGCAAGUCGAGCGAACGGACGAGAAGCUUGCUUCUCUGAUGUUAGCGGCGGACGGGUGAGUAACACGUGGAUAACCUACCUAUAAGACUGGGAUAACUUCGGGAAACCGUAGCUAAUACCGGAUAAUAUUUUGAACCGCAUGGUUCAAAAGUGAAAGACGGUCUUGCUGUCACUUAUAGCUGGAUCCGCGCUGCAUUAGCUAGUUGGUAAGGUAACGGCUUACCAAGGCAACGAUGCAUAGCCGACCUGAGAGGGUGAUCGGCCACACUGGAACUGAGACACGGUCCAGACUCCUACGGGAGGCAGCAGUAGGGAAUCUUCCGAAAUGGGCGAAAGCCUGACGGAGCAACGCCGCGUGAGUGAUGAAGGUCUUCGGAUCGUAAAACUCUGUUACUAGGGAAGAACAUAUGUGUAAGUAACUGUGCACAUCUUGACGGUACCUAAUCAGAAAGCCACGGCUAACUACGU
rnacentral:rRNA from 1 species